GAGUAACCUGCCCCCCUUCUCCUCCCCCAGAGGAAGAGGUGCCCGAACACAGCUGAUCCCGUGGGUCUGGCCGGAUUUUCCACCCGGACGCCUGGGUUCCUCGCCACCCAACGCUGGACACGUGAAUGGAGUUGGAAGUGUCGCCUGGCCCUUGAGAACCUGGGGGCCCCACUGAUUGCCAAUUGAUUUCUGCCCCCAACCCUGCUGCCCCCCAGGUUCACUGUCUCCUCUCACGCCCCCCGCGCCAUCCUGCCCAGGGCCGCACACCAAGGCAGGGAGCUAAGGACCCUGGGAAAUCGUCCCUUUCCCUCGCUGCCAUGCAGCGCCGAGCACCCGAGGCCGGGCCAUUGCUGCAAUACGGAUCAUAAAGAACCGUUUGUAAUCGUC